rnacentral:misc_RNA from 1 species
CGACUUUUCAGUUGUUAAAUUAUUGUAAAUAGUAACUGAUUUACAAAAUAAUUGUAAAAUUAUAAAAUUAAAAACACUAAAAUUUUUGCGACUGAUUAUAUUUCGGUUUCUAUUUAGUAACUGAUUUUGGUUGCUAAAUCAGUCAACUAAUUUCAGCUCUAAAUCAAUCGCUACUAGUAAUCGAUAAUUUUUUUACCAUAAGUUUUAUUUUUUUUUUAGUUUAAUUAAUUUAGCAUCUGAUUUGAUUGUUGGUUGUUAUUUACAACUAAGUUCAUUUUAAUCGAUUGAAUCGGUUGCUAAAUCGAUUAACACCCGAUUUUAAUAGAUUAGCAACUGAUUCAGUCUGUUGCUAAUUUUUUUUUUUUUAGUGUAGCUUCUCUUAUUAUUUCUUCUCACUUCUCUUACUUUCUUUUCACUUCCCUUAUCAUUUUAUUGUAUUUUCUAUCAUUUUCAUCUCUUCAUUUUUUUUUUCAUCUACCUUUUAAUUUUUACUAUAUAUUUUUCAUUUUCAUUAAUAUAAUUUUCUCUCAUUUCAUUUGAUCAUCUUUUUUUAAAUACCACUUUUUCUUCUCAUUACAAUUUAUUUACAAUAAUAAUUAUUAGUGAUAAA